rnacentral:rRNA from 1 species
GACGAACGCUGGCGGCGUGGAUUAGGCAUGCAAGUCGAACGGUAUCAUCCUUUCGGGGGUGAGAGAGUGGCGAACUGGUGAGUAACACGUAGGUUAUCUACCCUCAAGACGGGGACAACCCAGGGAAACUUGGGCUAAUACCGGAUGUGAGCAACUUUUAGUUGUUUGAAAGGUGGCGUAAGCUGUCGCUUGGGGAUGAGCCUGCGUCCUAUUAGUUAGUUGGUGAGGUAACGGCUCACCUAGGCAAUGAUAGGUAGGCGGCCUUAACGGGUGGUCGCCCACACUGGGAUUGAGAUACGGCCCAGACUCCUACGGGAGGCAGCAGUCGAGAAUAGUCUACAAUGGUCGGAAGACUGAUAGUGCGACGCCGCGUGAACGAUGAAUCCCUUCGGGGUGUAAAGUUCUUUUAUAUGUGAGCAGUGCUUCUUAUAUUAACAGUAUGGGGAGAGAGAUAUUAGCAUAUGAAUAAGCAACGGCUAAACUCCGUGCCAGCAGCCGCGGUAAAAAUAC